rnacentral:rRNA from 1 species
GAUGAACGCUGGCGGCGUGCCUAAUACAUGCAAGUCGAGCGAACAGACGAGGAGCUUGCUCCUCUGACGUUAGCGGCGGACGGGUGAGUAACACGUGGAUAACCUACCUAUAAGACUGGGAUAACUUCGGGAAACCGGAGCUAAUACCGGAUAAUAUAUUGAACCGCAUGGUUCAAUAGUGAAAGACGGUUUUGCUGUCACUUAUAGAUGGAUCCGCGCCGCAUUAGCUAGUUGGUAAGGUAACGGCUUACCAAGGCAACGAUGCGUAGCCGACCUAAGAGGGUGAUCGGCCGCACUGGAACUGAGACACGGUCCAGACUCCUACGGGAGGCAGCAGUAGGGAAUCUUCCGCAAUGGGCGAAAGCCUGACGGAGCAACGCCGCGUGAGUGAUGAAGGUCUUCGGAUCGUAAAACUCUGUUAUUAGGGAAGAACAAAUGUGUAAGUAACUAUGCACGUCUUGACGGUACCUAAUCAGAAAGCCACGGCUAACUACGUG